rnacentral:lncRNA from 1 species
AAAAAAAAGAGAAAUCCCGCCUAAAUUAUUUUCCGCAAUUUUUAUCUUCUCUUUUCCCCUCACACAUAAUUGAAUCUCUCUUUCGACUGCCUUCACCACUAAACCUCUCUUUCGACUCCCCUCGUGACUGACCUCUCUAGGCUACGCUCAUGAUUGUCGUUCAACUCUUUUGCGACGAUAUCCAUCUCACGCGACGACCUCUCACGAGCAAAUCCAUCACGCGACCAAACCCAUCUCUGAAAGCUAUUUAAACGAUUACGACGACAAUAUUGGAAUUACAACGAUGAUUUCUCAUCCCAAACGACAAGGAGAGCGAUUUGGUAUUCAAGGACCAUGACGUCGGUAAGGUUGAACUUUUUUUUAAUCGUAAUUUUUUAUAUCUCUGCUCAUUGUCUGUGUCAACUCACCAUUGUUGAUUUUGUUUUUCAGAAACCCGCUCCCCAACUUGAUUUUGUUUUUAUGGCAAUAACCCCCUUCUUGGUUUUCUUUUCUUGCAGACGACCACAUCGGCAAACCCCAUCUGUUUUCUUGCGGACGACCACACCGAUAGAUUUGUGUAAGAUGAAGCCAAGUACCGAACAAUGUAAGGUUUUUCUCUCUCUCUGAAUUUUGAAGUUUCUGUUUGUUCGACGAUUUCAAAGUUUUUCUUGUUGUUUUCGUUCUUGUGUUUCUUGUUGUAAUUACAGGAAUUUAUUCUAUUUGUAUAAGAUUUUCUUUAGGUUGCUGGAUCUUUGGAUCAUGGGUAUUGGUUUUGAUUGUGGUGUUUAUCUUUGAUCUCACUGCUUUUGCACUUGUUGUUGCUAUAUGUAUUUGGUGCAACUCUCUAUUAUAUUGAUCAUUUUUAUUAUUUGAUGAAUAUUGUUUUUCUGAUAAGUAUUAUUGGGAAUUUGAAAGGGUUUGUGAUUUUCAUACUGGUUGUGUUGAAAUGGCUUGUUGAUUUUUGGUUUAAGUUAUAUGUAGGUGGCUUUUGUAUAGAAAUGGUUUAGGUCACCAAUUUGUGAUUAAAUAGAAGAAAUUUGUAGAGGAAAUUUUUAGCAAACAAAUUAGAUUUUUUGUUUCUUCAUCCUGUCGCCUGACGUAGUUUUUAGGACUUAGGAAUCUCAUUUUUGUGUUCUUCUUUUAUGUUUCUAAUUUGAACCAUCCAUGAACAGCUUGGUAUGUUAAGUUCUAAUCACAAGAGAAAUGGAUUUUAUGAUAUUAGGGCUUUUGAUUCUGAUCCUAAUGUUAUUUUGAUGUGAAGAAGAAAGUGUUAGGGUUUAUAAUGUGUGUAUCUUAUUCCUAAAAGUCAAUUCUUCUUUGGCAGGCCAUGAUCGCUCAAUCAGGCAAUUCUAUAUUUUGUGCCUAUGAUUCUGAUAUUGCAAUUGCAUUAGGUGUGAGUUCACUUCUGAUUCUAUUUGCUAACCAAGUGAUUUUAAUGGUGGCACGUCGAUGUUUAUGUUGUGGGAGAGGAUUAUGACACUGCGUUGCUAAUACUUUUAGCAACAUUUUUUUUCUCAUUUUAGUAACGCUUUUUGUGCGUUAACUAAAAUCUCAAUUUUUUGUAGUGUUAAAGAAUUGGGUAGGGACUUCUCAGCUACUCCAUUCAAUGACAAUCUUUGUAGUGUGUUAAAAUUGGUAUUUAUUCUAUUUUUGUGUAACUUGAAGCCACCGUAUUUGUUUUUGUAUUUUCUGCACACUAUAUGAUGUCUUGUGAGCUUGUUCGAAAGAGAUAUGAGAGUUUUGAACAUUGAGAUUGGUGCAUAUUGAAAAGAGAGACAACGAGUUCACACCAAUUACGUGUAAACCCGAGUACUGGGAGAAAAACCACGAUUGUUUGUUGUUAUUAUUUUCUAAUGAAUAAAACAAUAGGUAUAGGGGAGAAUAAAUAGAGUACACAAUGGAAUAAAAAAGGAAAAGAUUGAGGAAAAUAAGAAAUACAUUCCCAUAAUCUUUCCAUAAUUAUUCUAGGAUUCUAACAAGGAAAAAGCCUAGAAAAAAGGAAAGAAUUCCAACAGUGCAUAAAUAGAGUUUUGAGAUUGUUGCUUGCCAUGAGUUGAGGUAUGGUAUGUUGUCGGUUAGUAUCCAAGAUUCUUAAGAGCUCACUGGAAGUUCUUGAAAACUGUUGUGAACAAGUUGUUUGAGUUCACGGACGAAACACAUUCGGGAGUGCAGGUUAUUGUUGGUUUUCUCUAUACUAUUUUAAGACAUAAUGAUGGAUCUCCCAAAUUAGGUUUUCUCUAUACUAUUUUCUUUUAUUAUUAUUAAUUUUCUUGUUUUUGUUUUUUCUUUCAACAUUUCAGGUAUUUUUUAUGCGAAUUCAUCUUGUUUAAAAAUUAACUUAUCUCAACCAUUAUUUGUGAUAGACUACUUUGUUUGCAAUGGUUUCUCUGAUUGCUCGCUACACAGAAAUGGACUGAAAUUAUUGUUUAGGCACGCCUAAGUUGGAAUUUCUAAAAGAUCGAGAUGUAAUAAGAACAAUGCUUAAGAUACUACAAGUAUGAUCGGACUCUGAAGUUUUGUCUAAGUUGUCCUCCACAAGAUAAAUCUUUAAUGCAUUGUGAAUAAUGCCUUUUCAAAUCCUUUUGAGUUUCUAAAGAUAACGUUUCUAAAGAUAUGAUUGUUGGCCUUUUUUCCCUCCUAAGUUGUUUAAUAGCGUAAAUAUAUAUCCAUACUUGAAUAAAUUUUUGUGCUUGUAUUUCCUCUUAAAUUCAUUUCUUUAUCAUACAAAAUCUCCUCCAUUUAAGUUCACUCCUUACCUAAUUAUAUGCAUUUUCUGUUGGAGCUUAUAAAAGUUAAUUGAUUGAGUUGAAGUUGUGGCUCUUAGAUGGAAUUCUUGUUAGACUACUUGGUCAUUGAAGAACAAAUUUGUUAAUUGAUAUUCUUACAUGCAGACAAAUACUAGUAUUGCCAGUUCAUUUGAAACCUAUUUCUUACCCUAGAUAUCUUUGAUCUUUUUGGAUAUGCUCAAUGUGUACAUAUAUUGCUAUUGUGUAUGUUAUGAAUGCCCUCUUAAAAUUGCAAGAUACAUAACACACAACAUCUAUUUUCCUUAUCAUAAGUGGUUUCUUUGGUUAUUGAAUGUGCUUGCAGAAUGUAUAGUAAACUUAUAUCAAGUAGCACUGCUGGGGGAGGGCGUUACACAUCUAAAACGUCCUAUGUUAAACUUCUAAGGUAAAGUUUUAUGAUGGUGAUUCCUGUUCAAUUCUGCUUUAAGUUUAUCCUUUUUAUUUACCUCUCUUUUAUGCUUAUUAUGAUGGUGCUUUGUGUUUAUGUUUUUAAAGUGUUCCAUUAUUUGUUUUUUAGAAGCAUGCUUUGAUUGUGUGCCUUUGCAAAUGAUUACAAAAAAUUAUUUAACACUUGAUAAAUAAUUUUGAGAAGCAUGCUCCGAUUGUGUUUCAUUAUUUUUUUCUUUUUUCUUUUUUUUUUUUGGGUAAAACUUGAUAAAUUCUAGAUAGAUCUAUUGUAGGUUGUUUCAAGGAUUAUUUGGUGGAACUUACUAUAACGCUUCAUGAAGUAUUUAACAUUUGGAUAGACGUAAUUAUUGAGGUUUAGAACAUGAUUUAAUGUUUUAGAACACUCUUAUAGUUAGUCAUUUUAUUUAUCUUUGUAAACUAAGAAUAGUUUGUGGAGAGACAUGAAUAGCCUACUACUCUUGUUGGUGUGAAUUAGUUAAUAUCCACUAUUAUUAGUGUCUACAUAAUCAUUCAUUGAUAUUCUUUUUACAAAUUUAUGUAGGUGAAUGAAAUGGUGUCUUAACUAGAGGACUAAAGAACCAACGAUGACAGUUAGCUCAUACCUAGCUAUAUAAUUGUGAACACUUAUAUUGAUUUUGAGGGUUAAUUUGUGUUGUUGGUACAAUUACAAAAUAUUUUAUUUACCUUUAUGUAUCUUUUAGGCUGAAACUUUAAUUAAGUAAAUUAUUAAAUACUUUAUUUUGUAAUUUUAAUACAUUAUGAAUGUAAGUUAUUAAUAUUUAUUGUGCUAUGAAGUAUUUAUGUGCGUAGAUUUAACUAAAUUUGAGUCA